CUGAAUAUUAAUCGAUAUUCUGUUGUACAGUUUCUUUUACAAAUCAAUGGUACGUUUUCAUUAUGCUCCUGCUGUUAGGACACAGAUAAGGAGAUGACUGGUUAAAGCAUACAGAUGCUUGCAACGCACUCUUAACCUCUGUGCAACAUGACACUAUUCUGUGGUCUACAGAUGAAGCAUAUUUUCACGUCUCCGGAUCAGUAAAUACAGGAAGUGCAGAUCCAGUCGACCAUACAGUAGUAAGCCAUUCCUUAAUGGCGUCGCAUAGGUUCAUCAGAAAGCCAGUCAUGAUGAUUCAAACCAAACCACCUAAAAGAGGUUUAAAAGUUGAAUUUUUCAGCGUUUUGCUUCCACGCUCAUAUCUUGAAAACAAUGCAUUCAACCGACAUAGCUAACAAUUCAAAAAUGAAGCUUAAUACAUUCU
rnacentral:misc_RNA from 1 species